rnacentral:lncRNA from 1 species
GGGAGCUCACUUCCAUGGUGAAAUCAAAGCUAGUAUCUCAAACCAAUCUUCUUCAAUUCUUGCCUUAAUCUCUCUCUAAUCUUCAUAUUAUUCAUACAAGAGAAACAUUAACCAUUGAUGGGGAAGCUUUUCACCAUGAGUUACAAUUGGUAGAAGAAAUGGGUAAGCUCAAGGAUUGAAUAGGAUUAUCAAGUGUGAUUUCGAUAUGUGAUUGCACGUGGUUAAAAGAAGGGGUAAGCUCAUCAUCAUCAUCAUCUUCAAUUUCUAGAAAAGGUGGGUUCUCUUACCCUAGGUUUGAUCUUGAAUAGAAAUCUUAGGGAUUUUGGUAUGUGAGAGUAAUUGACCCAUUACAUGUGGAUUUUUAAGUAGCAUAUGAGUAGGGUUUGUUCCUUAAGUGAGUUUGAUACCAAAAACACACUUAAGAUCCUUAGAAAGAUCGAAUUGGGUGAGGUUUGAGAGAUAAGCACUCUUCUACUAUGAAGUGGUGUUGUAUGUUUCGCAAAUCUUCUCAAGUGAGAGAUGUUGCUUUCUAAGUGAGAGUAUCACUGCCUCUAAGGUUAUAUAGGCUCUCUAAGCAAGGGUUUGCACCUUCAAAGGCUCGCUAAGCGAAGGCGACCUAUCAAGGUUCACUAAACGAGAGCCGACACCUGCCAAGAAUCGCUAAGUAAUGGUUGGCAUGCCGAGACUCUCUAAGCGAGAGUUGGAACCUUUUAUGGAUUACUAAGCGAGGGUUGGCCUUCUAGGGCUCACUGAACGAAACAAGCUUAUUGUCCUCUAGAAUAUCGUCUAACUCAUAUUUCAAGCCUUAUGUUGUGGUAGUUAAUGAUCAUAGGACUUAACAAUAUGAUUUUAGGCAUUAUUUCCACUGGGAAUGAAAGCAGGACAUGUCAUACAAGUGUGAGAUGACUUUGGAUUAAGAAAAACCUUGGAUACAAAGUAAAACUAGGGAAUUAGUCUUAACUUAUCUAACAAGUCAGAUACCUUAAGAGUAUUUGAGGAAAGAAUGGCAUAUAUGCUAUGAUUGAUAUAGUUGACAGAUAAAGAAGAUAAUGGAAAAAAAUUGUAAGAUGGCAUCCAGUAUAUCAAAGUGAAUACGUGGAGACAUCAUGUGUGACUAUGGAUCACAAACUCAAGCAUGUAAUGUGUUCCAUUGUUCCAAUUGGAGGAUAUGUGACAUAUCCAUACAAUUUGAGUUGAUUAAUAUGUGAUUUAUUUUAAUAUUCCCACUGAUGAAUAUGUGAGUUAUCCAUGGGAGGGUAUGUGAGUUGCCAUGGUGAUCAGAUUUGGGUGGAUAUGUGCUCUGUCUUAGCAACUUAUGAAAGGAUAUAUUAUUUAUCUUGAUACUUAACUAGAGGAUAUGCAAUUUUUCUGACUAUAUUGGUAGAGGAGUAAGUGAUUUAUUAUGAUAUUCCCAGUGACAUAUAUGUGAUUUAUCCAUGGGAAGAUAUGUGAUUUAUUCUGGUGAUCCGAUGAUGUAAAUAUGUGAUUUAUUCCAUGAUCCAGUUUUAGGGCAUGUGACUUGACCUGGUACCUUUCAUGACGAUAUGUGAUUUAUUAGAGUGAGUCAGUGUAGGGUCAUGUGAUUUUAUCCCGGCCGAGCCAAUAGAUGAACAUGUGAUUUAUUCUGAUACUCCAAUUGGUGGAUAUGGUGGUAAUCCUAUAAUUAGGUCAAGUUCAUGAGUACUGUAUUGUUGAUAUUAAAAUGUGGAAUGUAAGUUUACCUUGAAGAGUUGAGCGAUUAUACUAGAACUCGGGUUUAGCAUUUGUGAUCCACCCUCGAUGGAUUUAUGCAACUUUGCCUUAAAUUGAGUAUAAGGAUAGUGAGAGAUUUAAUGAUUUAGAUCGAGAAUCCACUGAAAUUAAUAUCUCAUCCUACAUUGUUUCAUUAUUUUUAAGAUAAGUAUGUGCUUUGGUUGAAAUCACAACUGAAGUCUCGAUGUCGAGAACCUAAUAGAGCAUAUUUCCAUUGUGAUGAAGAUUUUUGUCUGCUAGAGGAUGUACUAGCAAGACUUGUUGUAUUUUGAAAAUUUCAUCUGGUCCAUUUUCAUUCGUGUACAUUGAUAUAUCAUGAAUCAUAAAUUAAUAUUGUAAUAAUUAUUUUAGACAUGUAGUUACAUUGUUACAUUUUCUAUCCUUCUUAAUAAAGAUAACAAACAUGGAAGAGAUACCAUACUAGGAUGAAAAGCAUGAAGGAGCACUAAACUUGGAUUCUCGACCGGAAGAAUAAUUUCUAAGUGAAACGUAGGGAGAUGAUAAUAUGAUGGAACUGAAGGCACAAAAGAAGAUGGAUAUGGCCAAACAAGUCAGAGGUAUCACCACCAUCUAUGUAACAGGAGAUCCAUGAAAAUCCAUAACGAUAAAGGUCGAUUUACUCGAACCUACACAGGAGGAGUCCAUGGGAUUUUUGCAAAAGAGUAAUGAUCUAUUUACAUGUUUAGAAAAGUAAAUGUUGGUUCUCAAUCCAGAGGUAGAAUUCCAUAUCCUGGCCCUCAUAGACGACUCCCCUUAUGUGUUUCAACGCAUGCCAAAACAAUCUCCAAAAAGGCCUAAGUUACAAAGAAACUCAUAGACAAACUCCUCAAGGCCUGAUUCAUAACCAAGGCAAGAUAAACAAAAUCACUCUCCAACAUAGUAUUAGUGAGGAAAGCAAAUAAGAAGUGCCACAUGUAUACUGAUUAUUCAAAUAUAAGUAGGGCAUGCCCGAAAAACUUAUACUUACUUUCAAACAUUGAUAAGGUCAUUGAAAACUCAUAUGAAAUCAAACUUUCAUCCUUUUUGGAUGCAGAUUAUGGGUAUAACCAGAUACUAAUG